AUACUGCCGUUCCACCGGUCUUCGCCCGUAAGGCCGGAUCUGGGGCGUCGACUCAACGGGCUGGUCGUCUGGAAGCUGCCCGUCUUCCAGGGGAUGAGAUCCAACAGGCUAGUUCCGGGAAAUCUAUGUUCCGACUGAGUUCCCGGCACGAAAACUAAAGCGCGGAACUAAGCAUGUAGAUACGAGAGGGGAGCAUUUGCGGACGCGGGUUCGACUCCCGCCGCCUCCACCA
rnacentral:tmRNA from 1 species